GACGAACGCUGGCGGCGUGCUUAACACAUGCAAGUCGAACGAUGAAGCCGGAGCUUGCUCUGGUGAAUUAGUGGCGAACGGGCGAGUAACACGUGAGUAACCUGCCCUUGACUCUGGGAUAACUGCGGGAAACUGUAGCUAAUACCGGAUACGACCCUCGGAGGCAACUCCUGGGGGUGGAAAGAAUUUCGGUCAAGGAUGGACUCGCGGCCUAUCAGCUAGUUGGUGAGGUAAAGGCUCACCAAGGCGACGACGGGUAGCCGGCCUGAGAGGGUGACCGGCCACACGGGGACUGAGACACGGCCCAGACUCCUACGGGAGGCAGCAGUGGGGAAUAUUGCACAAUGGGCGCAAGCCUGAUGCAGCAACGCCGCGUGAGGGAUGACGGCCUUCGGGUUGUAAACCUCUUUUAGCAGGGAAGGAGCGAAAGUGACGGUACCUGCAGAAAAAGCACCGGCUAACUACGUGCCAGCCGCCGCCGUAA
rnacentral:rRNA from 1 species